ACCCGCUGAAUUUAAGCAUAUAAGUAAGUGGUGGAAAUUAAACCAAAAGGGAUUCCUUUAGUAAUUGCGAAUGAACAAGGAUAUGCUUAGCUUGAUAAAUGGGGCCUCUGGCUUUGAAUUGUGUUUUUGAAAUGUAUUUCCAACAGAGGUGCAGGUGUUAGCAUAUUGGAAGAAAGCGUCAAUGAGGGUGAGAAUCCUUUUUGUCAUGUGCAGUCCUCUGUACACGGUGUAUGUUUGCUGAGUCACACUCCUUGGCAUUGGAAUGCAAAGUGGGUGGUAAGUUUCAUGUAAAGGUAAAUAUAUGAUUGAGACUGAUAGUGCACAAGUACCAUGAGGGAAAUAUGAAAAGGACUUUGAAAAGAGAAUUAAAUGAGUUUGUAUUUGCUGAACUGAAAGUAAACAGAUUUGAUUUUGAUGGGUGAGAUUGUGGUGCUUGCUUGACACUAUGGUGUGGUCUAAGUACAAUGAUUCUUGCUUUGUGUGCCAGCUUUUUACACAUUUGAACAUGCAUGCGCAUGAAUGGUAUUAUUCCUGUGGGGGGUUGGAUUGCAUGCGUGUAUAAGCAUUUGUGUGCUUGAAGCAUGUGUUUGGUGAUGUUGGUGUGUGCACAUAUUGUUCUUCAGGAUGUUUUCUUCCUGUGUCAACAAGCCUUAGCGCAGAUUUGCUGGUGAAAUGCUUCUGCUUGACCCGUCUUGAAACACGGACCAAGG
rnacentral:rRNA from 1 species